GGCAAUGUAUGGGAACCAGAGCAGGGAACCAGUCUAGAAGGCAAAGAAAAUUCCGCCAAGUAAACAACAAAGAAAGGGAUUUGGGAUGUUGUCAGUUGUAGACAUUAUGUGGGCCGGUGACUGCAAGAAGCAAGGAAUGUGGAGCUAAUGCAUAUUGCUAAGGAUGGAAAGGUCUUGUGUUUGUUGGUUGUGCCUGAGACACCAGUCACAGUUGUACCUUAUUUCCAUUUUAGGGAGUCUAUAUACACUUGAGAGGUGAGCGUCAGAUUUAAAUUUGAAGAUGGAUGACUUUCAGAUGUUAUGAUGAAGAUUGUUGAAAGAGAUUAUCAACAUAGAAUCAAUCCAUAUGAAUGUGCAAGUCAGGACUUGUACAACACCUGAGUACCCAGAUGACUGUUGAACUAAUUGGUGAACAAGAAAAGAUGUCAGAGACGGGAAUCCAAUACAGAUGUCAUGAUCAAGAAAAUGUACUGUUAUCAAUGAUAUGAUCAAGAAUUUGUAAACUUGUAGCGAUUUAGAAUAUCUUAUCUGUAAUAUCUUCAAUACUUAAUUGUUCACACAUUAUCAUCUUAUCUG